GGAUAGUUGAUGUAGUUUAAAACCACUUGGAGAAAAGAAGUGCCCUUAUUUAGGGAUAGUUGAUGUAGUUUAAACCACUUGGAGAAAAGAAGUGCCUUAUUUAGGGAUAGUUGAUGUAGUUUAAAACCACUUGGAGAAAAGAGUGCCAAUCCAGUAAAGUCUCCUCUGACUGGAGGGUGAAGUACUCAAGUGCACUUUGAGUGUUGCCUAUGAGUGAAUGAAUGGUCUGGAUGUGUAGCUGGGAGAGGGUUGAUGGGAAGGAGGAUCAUUGGGGGAAGGAGGAGGUGGAUGGAAGUUUAGUGCAGACAUCAAAUAUCAGUAUUAUUGAUAAUGAAUGGCCAACAUCGGGUGGUCAUAUUGUGAGAAAUGACAUUGCCGGGUGUGGCUGUUCCUGAUUAGAACCUCUAAUGAAUGUUCAUAGUACAUGACAUAAGCCAAAACUCAAAGAGGCCUCAUUGUGCAAAUGCCUGACUUAGAACAUUAUAUGACAUUGCAAGUAAGUGGUUAAAAACGUGUUUAAUUUAUACAGUUAUAAUAUCGAACAUAUCCCAUAUACUACUCAGAAUCAGGACUUUAGACUUAAUUCAUUUUUAUACCUUUGUUAAAUUGUUUUACACUGUUUGAUUUGUUACCAGUGGAGGCUGCUGAGGGGAGGACGGCUCAUAAUAAUGUCUGGAACGGAGUUAAUGGAAGUAUCAAAACACCUGGAAACCUUGUUGGCUGAUGUUAUUGUUGGAAUGGUAUCAAACACCUGGAAACCUUGUGUCUGAUGUAUUGUUGGAUGGUUCAAACACCUGGAAACCUUGUGUCUGAUGUAUUGUUGAAAUGGUAUCAAACACCUGGAAAACUUGUGUCUGAUGUAUUGUUGGAAAUGGUAUCAAACACCUGGAAACCUUGUGUCUGCUGUUUGUUGGAAUGGUAUCAAACCUGGAAACCUGUGUCUGAUGUUUGUUUGGAAUGGUAUCAAAAACACCUGGAACCCUUUUGUCUGAUGUAUUGUUGGAAUGGUAUCAACACCUU
rnacentral:lncRNA from 1 species